CAGCAGCCGCGGGAAUACAGAGGAUGCAAGCGUUAUCCGGAAUGAUUGGGCGUAAAGCGUCUGUAGGUGGCUUUUCAAGUCCGCCGUCAAAUCCUAGGGCUCAACCCUGGACAGGCAGUGGAAACUACCAAGCUGGAGUACGGUAGGGGUAGAGGGAAUUUCCGGUGGAGUGGUAAAAUGCGUUGAGAUCGGAAAGAACACCAACGGCGAAAGCACUCUGCUGGGCCGACACUGACACUGAGAGACGAAAGCUAGGGGAGCAAAUGGGAUUAGAUAUCCCAGUAGUCCCUGUCUCUUAUAC
rnacentral:rRNA from 1 species